GUAACGGCGAGUGAAGCGGCAACAGCUCAAAUUUGAAAUCUGGUCCUUUCAGGGCCCGAGUUGUAAUUUGCAGAGGAUGCUUCGGGUACGGGUGCCUACUGAGUUCCCUGGAACGGGACGCCAUAGAGGGUGAGAGCCCCGUCUAGUAGGAUACCCAGCCCAUGUGAAGCUCCCUCGACGAGUCGAGUAGUUUGGGAAUGCUGCUCUAAUGGGAGGUAUACUCCUUCCAAGGCUAAAUACCGGCUGGAGACCGAUAGCGCACAAGUAGAGUGAUCGAAAGAUGAAAAGCACUUUGAAAAGAGAGUCAAAUAGCACGUGAAAUUGUUGAAAGGGAAGCGCUCGCUACCAGACUUGAGUUAGGCGGUUCAACCGGGGCCACGCCCCGGGGCACUCCACCUGCUCAGGCCAGCAUCAGCUUUCCGUCGGGGGCAAAGGCGUCGGGAAUGUGGCUCUCCUCCGGGAGAGUGUUAUAGCCCGGCGUGUCAUACCCUUCGGGGGGCUGAGGUACGCGCUUCUGCAAGGAUGCUGGCGUAAUGGUAGCUAGUGACCCGUCUUGAAACACGGACCAAGGAGUCAACCUUAUGUGCGAGUGCCCGGGCGUAAAACCCCAGCGCGGAAUGAAAGUGAACGUAGGUGAGAGCUUCGGCGCAUCACCGACCGAUCCUGAUGUCCUCGGACGGAUUUGAGUGAGAGCAUAUAGGGUUGGACCCGAAAGAAGAUGAACUAUGCGUGUGUAGGGUGAAGCCAGAGGAAACUCUGGUGGAGGCUCGCAGCGGUUCUGACGUGCAAAUCG
rnacentral:misc_RNA from 1 species